AGUUGCUGUGGAAGCCCCAUAGGCAGGAGGCCCCCGGGCAGCACAUCCUGUCUGCUUGUGUCUGCUGCAGAGUUCUGUCCUUGCAUUGGUGCGCCUCAGGCCAGGCUGCACUGCUGGGACCUGGGCCAUGUCUCCCCACCCCACCGCCCUCCUGGGCCUAGCAAGAAGGAUUACAUGGAGACAGUGAUGUCGAGGAGGGUUGGCUUGGUCGUUAUGAAAUGCUGAAUGCCCCCCAGCUCCAUCGAGCCCCCUUUUGACAGCAGCCCCGUAAGGAGACUGGGCACUGGGCAUUUUUCUCACUGGGGCUUCUCUUCCAGUGCUCUGCCUGGCCCAGACCAUCCACACGCAGGAGGAAGAUCUGCCCAGACCCUCCAUCUCGGCUGAGCCAGGCACCGUGAUCCCCCUGGGGAGCCAUGUGACUUUCGUGUGCCGGGGCCCGGUUGGGGUUCAAACAUUCCGCCUGGAGAGGGAGAGUAGAUCCACAUACAAUGAUACUGAAGAUGUGUCUCAAGCUAGUCCAUCUGAGUCAGAGGCCAGAUUCCGCAUUGACUCAAAACCUCUGGAGGCCCGGACUCCCCGGACACAGAGCCCGGCUCCUCAGCUGGUCAGUAGCAGGGCCCUCAGCUGGAGGGGAUUACAGGGGAAUCUGUGCUGCGGAUGCUGUUCCGGGUCCAGCCCUCUGCCCUGGGCUUGGAGUCAAGGUCUAGGGAGGCCACGGGAAGGCACCGACACCCACCAAGCUCUGGGAGGUCGCUAAUGCUCACAGAGACCAUAGCAGCAAUGGACCCACGCAGAGGCCGUCGGACAACAGUCACAAUGAGCAUGCACCUGCUUCCCAAGGCCUGAAAGCUGAGCAUCUGUAUAUUCUCAUCGGGGUCUCAGUGGUCUUCCUCUUCUGUCUCCUCCUCCUGGUCCUCUUCUGCCUCCAUCGCCAGAAUCAGAUAAAGCAGGGGCCCCCCAGAAGCAAGGACGAGGAGCAGAAGCCACAGCAGAGGCCUGACCUGGCUGUUGAUGUUCUAGAGAGGACAGCAGACAAGGCCACAGUCAAUGGACUUCCUGAGAAGGACAGAGAGACGGACACCUCGGCCCUGGCUGCAGGGAGUUCCCAGGAGGUGACGUAUGCUCAGCUGGACCACUGGGCCCUCACACAGAGGACAGCCCGGGCUGUGUCCCCACAGUCCACAAAGCCCAUGGCCGAGUCCAUCACGUAUGCAGCCGUUGCCAGACACUGACCCCAUACCCACCUGGCCUCUGCACCUGAGGGUAGAAAGUCACUCUAGGAAAAGCCUGAAGCAGCCAUUUGGAAGGCUUCCUGUUGGAUUCCUCUUCAUCUAGAAAGCCAGCCAGGCAGCUGUCCUGGAGACAAGAGCUGGAGACUGGAGGUUUCUAACCAGCAUCCAGAAGGUUCGUUAGCCAGGUGGUCCCUUCUACAAUCGAGCAGCUCCUUGGACAGACUGUUUCUCAGUUAUUUCCAGAGACCCAGCUACAGUUCCCUGGCUGUUUCUAGAGACCCAGCUUUAUUCACCUGACUGUUUCCAGAGACCCAGCUAAAGUCACCUGCCUGUUCUAAAGGCCCAGCUACAGCCAAUCAGCCGAUUUCCUGAGCAGUGAUGCCACCUCCAAGCUUGUCCUAGGUGUCUGCUGUGAACCUCCAGUGACCCCAGAGACUUUGCUGUAAUUAUCUGCCCUGCUGACCCUAAAGACCUUCCUAGAAGUCAAGAGCUAGCCUUGAGACUGUGCUAUACACACACAGCUGAGAGCCAAGCCCAGUUCUCUGGGUUGUGCUUUACUCCACGCAUCAAUAAAUAAUUUUGAAGGCCUCACAUCUGGCAGCCCCAGGCCUGGUCCUGGGUGCAUAGGUCUCUCGGACCCACUCUCUGCCUUCACAGUUGUUCAAAGCUGAGUGAGGGAAACAGGACCUACGAAAACGUGUCAGCGUUUUCUUUUUAAAAUUUAAUUGAUCAGGAUUGUACGUAUUCAAGGUGUAAAAUGUGAUAAUUUGUCGUACACGUACAUUGUGCAAUGACAGUCACAAUCAAUUCCUCAGCGCACCCAUCGCCACGGAUACGAUACAUUAGAUAUUCUGAACUUGCUCAUCUUAGGACUUCACAUUGGUGUCAGUGUUUUCUGACAAAUCACGUGUAUCAGGAAUGAAUGAGGGAGGUGUGGCUGGGUGAAGGCAGAGAGCCGACCCUACAGGUCCACAUCUGCACAUACAUGCACAGGAAUGCAUGCUCUCACACACAUGCAUACACACACGCACACACACAGACAUGCACAUACACUCACACGCCCCAGGAAAUCCAAGGAAUCACUGAGCCUGCUGUUGGUUGAGGCAUUUCUGAGUAUCCACCCUACCUGUAGGGUCAGAUGUACUGAUUGACACAGAAAAUUACCCUAUGUACCACUAGGAGGCGGCAGAAUCUCAUUUGGGUUAAUCUGUGUUUGUCUUUAAAAAACAAAAACAGGCCGGGCAUGGAGGCUCACGCCUGUAAUCCCAGCACUUUGGGAGGCUGAGGUGGGCGGAUCACGAGGUCAGGAGAUCGAGACCAUCCUGGCUAACACGGUGAAACCCCAUCUCUACUAAAAAUACAAAAAAAUUAGCCGGGUGUGGUGGUGGGUGCCUGUAGUCCCAGCUACUCGGGAGGCUGAGGGAGGAGAAUGGCGUGAACCCGGGAGGCGGAGUUUGCAGUGAGCCGAGGUGGUGCCACUGCACUCCAGCCUGGGCGACAGAGCGAGACUCCGUCAAAAAAGAAAAGAAAAGAAAAGAAAGAUUUUUAAGAAUUUUUUGCUCAUUUAUAUCUUUUUUUUUUUUUUUGAGAUGGAGUUUCACUCUUGUCACCCAGGCUGGAGUGCAAUGGCUUGAUCUCGUCUCACCGCAACCUCCGCCUCCCGGGUUCAAGCAAUUCUCCUGCCUCAGCCUCCUAAGUAGCUGGGAUUACAGGCAUGCACCACCACGCCCAGCUAAUUUUUUUGUAUUUUUAGUAGAAACGGGGUUUCUCCAUGUUGGUCAGGCUGGUCUCAAACUCCCGACCUCAGGUGAUCCGCCCGCCUCAGCCUCCCAAAGUGCUGGGAUUACAGGC